GUCUCGCUGAUCCAGUCACUUCACUUUUCUUGUGGUCUUGUGGUCCUUCUUCCACUAGAAUGUGAAUUCUUCAGGGAUGGCCAAUUGAUUCACGCUAUUUCCCAGCACACAGACAACAUCUGUCAAAGUACAGUCUCCAACCCACAGCAUUCGCUUGUCACUUGCUGAUAUGGCCCUGCCAGGGUCAUAUAGGUUGUAUAGGUUCCCGGACCCCCACCUACUGUAAAUACGACGAGGGAGGAGCCCAAAAGCAGGUCUGCUCUGAGCCUCAUGACAUAGAGGGCACCCAUCUUCAGGGUGGAAGCCGUUUGGAGGUGUCCCUUCCCAGAAUGGCCUUCCUUAAAAUCUCCUGCCCGCUGUCCACUAGCGCACAGCAGGGUCCUUGGGAUACACAGCUUCCCACCACCUUGGUCACUGUCAUAGCGAAGCACCAGACGGAGGGGCUGCAACAAAGUCUGUGAUUUCUCACAGCCCUGUAAGCCCAGGGUCGCAGUGCCAGCAAGGCAGCUCCUAGGAGCCUCUCCAGGCUUGUAGGAAGUCACGUGCUAUUUCUUCUCACAGUGGGGGGUGGGGAGGGUCCUCUGGUUUCUCCUCAUAGCACUGCCCGUGGCCUGGCAGUAUGAUCCCCAUGGAAUCACCUCAUCCUGGCACUAUUGCCUCGUAAAGAGGCAGGAAGUCAGCACUGGACCCUACACGUUAUUCAGUGGGUAGCGUGCUCCUGAAAACGCCAGGUGCAAGGAAGAGUACUUGAUAAUUAUGACAUGAGAUGGGUCACCAAGCGUUUGCAUUUAUGUCACACUCAGGCCUUGAUGUCCUUCCCGGGGCUCAUCUAUGCCUCUCUGUUAGUCUGUCUAUGGUCACCAGCCAACAAGAUCUCCCUGCCCCCCACCUCAAGAAUACCACCAUGCAAACCCGCAGACCACGGAGGGCCAGCUCAGGUCUGGAUAUAUGCUUGGCAACAAAGCAGCGGUGGUACGAUGUAGACGCAGAUGUUCUGUUACCUAAGGAGGCCCACUUGGGCCAUAAACCCCAGCUGGAAGAUGCCCUUCUCUUCCCAGAGGCUGGAGGAGCCGUUUGUGGGGAGCCACGGAGUCACGUGAGUGGGUGCCCAGGCCAGGCAGAUUGUCCCCCGGCGCCUGCUUACACGGCAGCCCACGCAGAUGAGCCCCUAUAGACACAGAAUUCGUUUCCCUACAAAUGUCUGUGGUUGUAGCAAAUAAGGACUGGGAGACACUAAAGCCUACUCAAUUCUGUGGAAGAUGCCGCCUGGUGUUCGGAGGCGUUUCGGAGAGCUGUGUUAGCCACCUGUCAGGAAUGAUGAGGGAAGCAGACGGAGCUCUUUGGAGAAGCAUCAAACAAGUGUGAGGUGAAUCUGCAGGGAGAAGAUCAGGAUCCAAGCUCUGGAGAAGGUGCCAGUCCCAUUCCGGGUGAAUCUUCCCUCUUCAUCUAAACCUUUCUAGAAAUACUCUCAGAGACGUCGCCAGAAGAGUGUUUCCAGAGGUGAUUCAAACUCCAGUCAGGCUGACAGUGACGUCCCAAAGAGCCUUCCCAAACCACCAGCGGGACAUUAAUUCUGAAGUGAAAGUUGCAUGAGGAGAUAAGAGUCUCAAGGCCCUGACACAGACGCUGGGGACCUCAUUUCCAGCCCAUUAAGUGGGCAUCAAUGGACACCGCAACAAGAAGGGGGAGAGAAGGUGACCGGCUUUGAGUUCUGACUCAUACUUCAAGCUAUCCCUGGAGUUGGGAAAC
rnacentral:sRNA from 1 species